rnacentral:lncRNA from 1 species
CUACCUUUCCGCAGAUGCACAAGGUAAUUAAUUUGAUUUUGAUUAAUACAUUCUUUGUAAGCCCUCUGUACUAAAAAGUCAUGAGCUGCAAAGUCUUAAUUUCUUGAGAUUUUGAUUCCAUAUCAUUUAUCAGAUUUGGGUACAUGAGCAAGAUGACUGCUUGCAAGAGAAGUGUCACUUUCUGGUCACUGGAAUCUAAUUAUGAAAUAUGUACAUGCAGAACAUUCCAAAAUAGCAUAGCUGUCGCUAUGACUGCAUGUCACUUUUGUCUCUGUAUCGUUGGUUUUAGAAACAUUACACAAAAUGAAUUGCAUCAAUCUUUUGUUUCCUUUCCUAUCAUAUUUUUUUUAAGGCAGCCCAGGAAGUUCCUGAUGGAGUUGAGAUGGAGCACUGUAAAGUUCCUUAUGAAUUGAAACAUUCUCAAAGCCUUCAUAUUAUGGGGAGACUAAUAUCCAAGAAGAGGGACUGAGGAUUACAGGUAUGCCAGUGACUCCUCCAAAGCCUAUUUCUUUGCCCUGCUCCUCAAAGUGCAGUCACAAACAGGAGAUCCAAUCACUGCUUAUUUUGAUCUUUUUCAUUAUGCCCUCCCAAGCUGUACAGACUGAUCUCUGAUGUGUCCUCAUUAACAGCCUUUGUAUUUUAAGACCCCCGGUACAGCAGAUGUUUAAGAUGACAAAGUCCUUUGCACAUAUUUUAAGUUUGAUAAGAAGAUUCACUAUUCACAAUAGUUAGUGUGGAUGGAAGUGAUAGUUUAGGUUGGACACAGACAUGAAGAGAGUAAGUUUCCAAUGUGUACAACAUACAUCACCGGUGAUACAGAUGACUUACCACACCUUUCACUACACACAAAAAGCUUCUUUUUAAUUCCUAAGAAAAAAACCACUUUUUUGCCUCCCUCCCCACCUUUUUCUAAUCAAAAGUUUUUUUUAAUUAGGACUGAAACCAAUGCAAAAUUUACAAUCAUAACCACUUCCUUCCAUGCAAGAUCAUUCAAAGUAAAAAAUAAAUAAUAAAAUGAAAAACCA